rnacentral:rRNA from 1 species
GACGUAGGGGACGAGCGUUGUCCGGAUUCAUUGGGCGUAAAGCGCGCGUAGGCGGUUCGGUAAGUCGGGUGUGAAAACACGAGGCUCAACCUCGUGCGUGCAUCCGAUACUGCCGGACUAGAGGUAGGUAGGGGAGAUCGGAAUUCCUGGUGUAGCGGUGAAAUGCGCAGAUAUCAGGAGGAACACCGGUGGCGAAGGCGGAUCUCUGGGCCUUACCUGAGGCUCAGGCGCGAAAGCUAGGGGAGCGAACAGG